CAGGAUGAACGCUAGCUACAGGCUUAACACAUGCAAGUCGAGGGGCAGCAUGGUCUUAGCUUGCUAAGGCCGAUGGCGACCGGCGCACGGGUGAGUAACACGUAUCCAACCUGCCGUCUACUCUUGGACAGCCUUCUGAAAGGAAGAUUAAUACAAGAUGGCAUCAUGAGUCCGCAUGUUCACAUGAUUAAAGGUAUUCCGGUAGACGAUGGGGAUGCGUUCCAUUAGAUAGUAGGCGGGGUAACGGCCCACCUAGUCUUCGAUGGAUAGGGGUUCUGAGAGGAAGGUCCCCCACAUUGGAACUGAGAUACGGUCCAAACUCCUACGGGAGGCAGCAGUGAGGAAUAUUGGUCAAUGGGCGAGAGCCUGAACCAGCCAAGUAGCGUGAAGGAUGACUGCCCUAUGGGUUGUAAACUUCUUUUAUAAAGGAAUAAAGUCGGGUAUGGAUACCCGUUUGCAUGUACUUUAUGAAUAAGGAUCGGCUAACUCCGUGCCAGCAGCCGCGGUAAUACGGAGGAUCCGAGCGUUAUCCGGAUUUAUUGGGUUUAAAGGGAGCGUAGAUGGAUGUUUAAGUCAGUUGUGAAAGUUUGCGGCUCGACCGUAAAAUUGCAGUUGAUACUGGAUAUCUUGAGUGCAGUUGAGGCAGGCGGAAUUCGUGGUGUAGCGGUGAAAUGCUUUAGAUAUCACGAAGAACUCCGAUUGCGAAGGCAGCCUGCUAAGCUGCAACUGACAUUGAGGCUCGAAAGUGUGGGUAUCAAACAGGAUUAGAUACCCUGGUAGUCCACACGGUAAACGAUGAAUACUCGCUGUUUGCGAUAUACUGCAAGCGGCCAAGCGAAAGCGUUAAGUAUUCCACCUGGGGAGUACGCCGGCAACGGUGAAACUCAAAGGAAUUGACGGGGGCCCGCACAAGCGGAGGAACAUGUGGUUUAAUUCGAUGAUACGCGAGGAACCUUACCCGGGCUUAAAUUGCAGAUGAAUUACGGUGAAAGCCGUAAGCCGCAAGGCAUCUGUGAAGGUGCUGCAUGGUUGUCGUCAGCUCGUGCCGUGAGGUGUCGGCUUAAGUGCCAUAACGAGCGCAACCCUUGUUGUCAGUUACUAACAGGUUCCGCUGAGGACUCUGACAAGACUGCCAUCGUAAGAUGUGAGGAAGGUGGGGAUGACGUCAAAUCAGCACGGCCCUUACGUCCGGGGCUACACACGUGUUACAAUGGGGGGUACAGAGGGCCGCUACCACGCGAGUGGAUGCCAAUCCCCAAAACCUCUCUCAGUUCGGACUGGAGUCUGCAACCCGGCUCCACGAAGCUGGAUUCGCUAGUAAUCGCGCAUCAGCCACGGCGCGGUGAAUACGUUCCCGGGCCUUGUACACACCGCCCGUCAAGCCAUGGGAGCCGGGGGUACCUGAAGUGCGUAACCGCGAGGAGCGCCCUAGGGUAAAAC
rnacentral:rRNA from 1 species